rnacentral:tRNA from 1 species
GGGCCAUUAGCUCAACUUGGUUAGAGUACACCUUUGAUAAGGGUGUGGUUAUUGGUUCAAGUCCAAUAUGGCCCA